rnacentral:rRNA from 1 species
AUGAUGUUUCAGAAUCUGUCAAGUGUAGGAGUUCUUUGUCAACAACUUGCAAAAACAGGAAAAUCAGUGGAUUAUUAUUUGAUUGACAGGUUAAUUCGACUUGUUCUCACUUUGCCUGUCUCAACCGCAACAACAGAACGUGCAUUUUCGGCAAUGAAAGUUGUUAAAACAAGACUCCGAAAUAAAAUGGAAGACAUGUUUCUAAGAGAUUGCUUGUUGAUCUACAUCGAGAAAGAGAUUGCAGUAGGAUUCUCAACUGAUGCAAUUAUUGAUGAAUUCAAUACAACAGACCGUCGUGUGGACUUCGAGUGA